rnacentral:rRNA from 1 species
CAGAGGCGAUGAAGGACGUGCUAAUCUGCGAUAAGCGCCGGUAAGGUGAUAUGAACCGUUAUAACCGGCGAUUUCCGAAUGGGGAAACCCAGUGUGACUCGUCACACUAUCAUUAACUGAAUCCAUAGGUUAAUGAGGCGAACCGGGGGAACUGAAACAUCUAAGUACCCCGAGGAAAAGAAAUCAACCGAGAUUCCCCCAGUAGCGGCGAGCGAACGGGGAGGAGCCCAGAGCCUGAAUCAGCAUGUGUGUUAGUGGAAGCGUCUGGAAAGGCGCGCGAUACAGGGUGACAGCCCCGUACACAAAAGCGCAUGUGCUGUGAGCUCGAUGAGUAGGGCGGGACACGUGGUAUCCUGUCUGAAUAUGGGGGGACCAUCCUCCAAGGCUAAAUACUCCUGACUGACCGAUAGUGAACCAGUACCGUGAGGGAAAGGCGAAAAGAACCCCGGCGAGGGGAGUGAAAAAGAACCUGAAACCGUGU